GACGAACGCUGGCGGCGUGCUUAACACAUGCAAGUCGAGCGGAAAGGCCCUUCGGGGUACUCGAGCGGCGAACGGGUGAGUAACACGUGAGUAACCUGCCCCAGACUUUGGGAUAACCCUCGGAAACGGGGGCUAAUACCGGAUACGACACAGCUUCGCAUGGGGUCUGUGUGGAAAGUUUUUCGGUUUGGGAUGGGCUCGCGGCCUAUCAGCUUGUUGGUGGGGUGAUGGCCUACCAAGGCGACGACGGGUAGCCGGCCUGAGAGGGCGACCGGCCACACUGGGACUGAGACACGGCCCAGACUCCUACGGGAGGCAGCAGUGGGGAAUAUUGCACAAUGGGCGGAAGCCUGAUGCAGCGACGCCGCGUGCGGGAUGACGGCCUUCGGGUUGUAAACCUCUUUCGGCAGGGACGAAGCGUAAGUGACGGUACCUGCAGAAGAAGCGCCGGCCAACUACGUG
rnacentral:rRNA from 1 species